UUAGCGUGUGCAAUCAUCUGAAACCAAUUUUGAAAUCUUUUUUAAUUUAUAUUUUAGACGAAAUUUUAAUUUAUAGAAAUAGUUUUCACCUUCAUAACGCUUUGUUAACUUAUGAUAUUUGUUCAACACAUUUUACUUUGAACCGGCAGACUGAAGUGUUAACUGUAAAUCAGUCAAAUGGACAAGUGCAGCUGUCAGUAGGUGAAAUUCGGGAUAUAAUUUCAUCUGUUAAUCUAUUGGAGCAUUUUUUCCAAGAAAGAGUAUUCCAAAACAAAUUCUGAAAAGGUAAGUUUUUAUUUUAUUAUUUAAUUUUAACUAUAUGCAUUGCAAUCAGUAUUAAUAGCACAUUGUGUAAAGAACGUAAAUCUAUCACCCAUUCGCAACUUUAUUACAUGUUUACGGUAUAUAAUGAAUUUAUAAGAUUUAAGAUGAUUAUAUAUGUUGGUCAGGACAGAAUAGGCGGUUGGGGUGAGGAAAGACCAACUGAUAAUACAUGUUUUACAACAGUCGCAAGGAAAUAAUGUCUAUACCCUAUAUUCAUUUUCAUCUUGAUCACUCUACACAAUGUUUUCAUAGUCGUACACAAUGGAUGACCUUUCAACUACAAAAGUCCAUUCAGACGUCAGAUUCUAUAAAUCUAGCAGCGUGCGAAGUUAGUUUUUUUUUCACUCUGCCUGUGAAAAAAUGUCCGUUUCGUUUAUGCUGAGAAAUCCCACUCGCACAGAUUAUAAUUUCGGUAUUAGGCAACUUCGUCAUUCUAUUUUUUUAAAUUUUAUUUCAUCACGAAAUUUGCUCUUUAUUCUACAAAAUCCACAGAUAGAAAAUAAUAUCAGUAUUUUCUGUAAAAUUUAUUUUCGUACGGAUUUUACAGGAGCAAUUAUAAUCCACGGAGAAGUGUUUAUUUAUUUAACAAGGAGACAAUUAAAAAACCUUCAAAGUUGCCUGGAAUUGUCGUUGCGCUUAUCAACGUGAGUAUCUCUUUUAUUUUCGUUGGUUAUUCUUUGUAACUAGAAAGAAGGUUAUUCGUUGUCACUUGUAACAAAGCUUUAAUUUCAUUCCAUUAUCGACUUUCCUUUGAUGACGCUCAUGUGAGCGGCUUUCAUCUCUCUACUACGUGUCAUUUUGCACGUAUAACAAUGAACUGUCAAUUUCGGGUGGGUUGUGGUAUGGUGGUAUUGUUUUAUCCAAUCAGCACGAUCACAUUUUGCACAUGUGUUAAUGUAUUGCCAAUGUUUGGCUGUUAUUGAAUAUCCAAUCAGAGUACGAUAUUAAUUGUAUAUAAAAACCGUUGAAAUCGCUAAUUUAUACCAUUGAGAGAAAAAAAAAAAAAGAAAGAAAGAAAAAAAAAAAAAUGUUGAUAAUAGUUUUGAUCUACGUUGUUGUCGGUAUUUCACAUGGUGAUGCUUUGCCGUGCUCAUGGAUCGGAGGAUCAACUUUAUCAUGCUCUACCGAACAGCAUAAGUCAAUUUCUCUUUUGUCCGGUCAACUCUAUCGAGGAAUAUCCGUCAUAAGAAUUCACGGUUCACCAUCACUGCUGCUAAUCAACGGUGAUUUGUUUCCACAACUGCAGGCAAUUAUAGGAGACGUGGACUGCAGCCGUGUUGUCGGCGUUCAGGUGCCGGUGAAUGGCAAGUGGUGCAGUGAGCUAUCAACAACUGCUAUUUCUUUAUCUCUCUCUACUACUACUACUACUACUACUACUUCUACUACUACUACUACCACUAUCAUUACUACUCUCCCUCCUACUUCCUCUACUGUUAGAAUUAAUAGCCUCUCAUUGUUUCCUGCUACGGUUAAUACUUCCACUUCUACUGCAGCUACUACUACUGCACCAACUACCACAACUACUAAUCCUGUUGUUACUAACCCUACUGCUACUACUACUACUGCUACUACUGCAGCUACGUCUACUACAGCUACUUCUCCAACUACUAAUCCCGUUGUUACUAACCCUGUUGGCACUAACCCUGUUGCUAUUACCACCUCCACAACUUCUACUGUUUCUUCUGUUAAAUCAUCUACUCUGAUUAUUACCGGUUCUGUUGCUAAUAUUUCUUCACCAACUUCCACCGCUGAUAUCCGAAGCACCCGGUUAUCAGAUUCUACUAUCGUAGGUAUAACUAUUAUUAUUAUUAUCAUCAUAUUCUUUCUGUUAAUGGUUUUUUAUUUGGUUUAUCGAAAAAGGAAAGGUAAUCAUACAAGGUAUAUAUCACCUCCUCCAGAUAUAGAAGAUAAUGAGAUAGAAUUGUUUACAUUUCAAUCUAAAGUUAAUAAAUGUUAAAAUUUUAUUCUAACACUUUUAUAUUUUUAUUUUUAUUUUUUAAUUAUUUAUUUAUUUAUUUAUUUAUUUAUUUAUUUUUUACCUAUUCUUCACUUCAUUUACCCAUCAGCAAGACCCUAUCACCCCUCCCAUCCCUACACUAUCAGCAACGGCGAUGGCUAUGAUGAUGAUGAUCAUCAUGAUGAGGAGUGUCGUGGUUGUGUGAUGAAGUCGGAGGUGACGGCACUCCUCAUCAUGGCUGUCCUGGCUGCGGUGGGCAUUCCGUCGGGACUCGCUUUGCGGUGGUUUCUCCGCAGGAGACGGAAUGCCCGCCGCACCCUUCACCGUCACCGUCGCGAGGAGGAGGAGCACGAUGAACCACCUCACCUCAGGCGGGAAGUAACAGAAUUGUAAUCAAUAACGCAUUAAUCCUUGUAAACAAUAAAUUCUAUGAUUAUGAUAAAAA